UACGAAGGUGGCAAGCGUUGUUCGGAUUUACUGGGCGUACAGGGAGCGUAGGCGGUUGGGUAAGCCCUUCGUGAAAUCUCCGGGCCUAACCCGGAAAGUGCGGAGGGGACUGCUCGGCUAGAGGAUGGGAGAGGAGCGCGGAAUUCCCGGUGUAGCGGUGAAAUGCGUAGAGAUCGGGAGGAAGGCCGGUGGCGAAGGCGGCGCUCUGGGACAUUUCUGACGCUGAGGCUCGAAAGCGUGGGGAGCAAACAGG
rnacentral:rRNA from 1 species